AGUUAUCAAGAAUUUAAUUGCCGAACAAAUAAACUUGAUUCAACACAAGAUGUAAAAGUAAGAAACUAAAAGUAGAAAGAGGAUAAUAUCAUCGUCAAGUUCUUCUGAUAAUGAGAUAGCGGAAUAAAUAAUAUACCAAUGCCACCUGCCACGUACGUGAGCCAAAAGGAUCAGCAACCACCACCAACAUUUAAAACUCCUAUAUCAUUACUUGAGCCGUAAAAGUAUUUAUAAUUUUAAUAA